rnacentral:rRNA from 1 species
AACGAACGCUGGCGGCAUGCCUAACACAUGCCAGUCGAACGAGACCUUCGGGUCUAGUGGCGCACGGGUGCGUAACGCGUGGGAACCUGCCCUUAGGUUCGGAAUAACUCCCCGAAAGGGGUGCUAAUACCGGAUAAUGUCUUCGGACCAAAGAUUUAUCGCCUUUGGAUGGGCCCGCGUUGGAUUAGCUAGUUGGUAGGGUAAAAGCCUACCAAGGCGACGAUCCAUAGCUGGUCUGAGAGGAUGAUCAGCCACACUGGGACUGAGACACGGCCCAGACUCCUACGGGAGGCAGCAGUGGGGAAUAUUGGACAAUGGGCGAAAGCCUGAUCCAGCAAUGCGGCGUGAGUGAUGAAGGCCUUAGGGUUGUAAAGCUCUUUUACCCGGGAUGAUAAUGACAGUACCGGGAGAAUAAGCUCCGGCUAACUCCGUG